CCCCCACACACACACACACACGCACACACACACACAAACAAAGAGGCGUUAGGCUGAGACGCUGAAAGUCCGGAUUUAAAGUGCAGAAAAUGAAGCCAUUGAAUCUGCCUGUCCAUGACGUACAAAGACACACUAUGAGCCAGUAUGAUCCGACCAGACCUUACAUCAGCAUUGAGGAGUUGUCGGAGAAGAAAGAGGCUGAUUGAAGCGGGACAGAUGACAUGGAUCCAUCCUUCCACAGCCAGGAGCGCACCGACCUGUGUCCCACACUUCAUAUAAGACUGGAAGCUACACUGAUCUCACAGCUACACACCACAGACGUCUACACACUGGAGAAGAGUCCCACAAAGAAGUCAUGACCCAGAGGCUGCAGAGAAACAUUUCAAGCCUCAUCUGAGUUUUUGUACAAUAUUUUUGCUGUAUGUAAAUAAAGCUUUCACUCCACAUAUA